UAUAACUGAUGGUCCAGGUUUAGAUAUAACUGAUGAUCCAGGUUUAGAUAUAACUGAUGAUCCAGGUUUAGAUAUAACUGAUGAUUCAGGUUUAGAUAUAACAGAUGAUUCAGGUUUAGAUAUAACUGAUGUUCCAGGUUUAGAUAUAACGGAU
rnacentral:lncRNA from 1 species